rnacentral:lncRNA from 1 species
AACAACUCUCAACCCAACAAUGAUGACCCGAUAACCCAACACUAAAAACCGACUUUGAACCAACUCCGAUCGAGUAACGGAACCUCGACCCAACAAAACCCCUUUUUUUGUUCCUCUUCUCAUCUCAAAAUUGUGGGGACCUUCUAGAAAAUAUCCAGGUAGACUAAGAUUCGAAUUCAAUGUAUGGGAGGUACAAUUUUGUACCAAAUAUAGCUCAUUCAUUAUCAUCUUAUCUGAAAAUUCAAAUUUCUUCAAAAGGAAAUUUUUCAAAAAUUGCCCUAAAUUUUGUCAUCCCACACCGAUUGAGAAUUAAAAUCCUCUCUAAUUUGGUUUCCUCUAUAAAGCUCCUUAUUAAGCUAAAGAGGGCAAGUUAUGAGAGGUUAAAAAACUAUAGAGCAAAGGCAGUCUAUUUUUAGUAAAAGUAUUUUUUUUUUCAUUUUCAUGAAAUUUGUCAGCUAAUUGACGUUGCCGAGUUGACGUUGACAUUUUUUCAGUGGUGGCGAAUUCCAACGAAGCUCAAAAUCUCGUUUUGCUACCCAAAAGCUGGUUAGUCUUUGAUUCUCUCUUUUAUACUGUCGCGAUGUAAUAGUUGUAGUCAUAGUAUGAUUUCGAUUAUUGCGUUGUACACUGGGAUUGUUCGCUGUAGAGUGAUUCAAUGGCCAUAGGGAUUUCUUGAAAUGAUUGUCUAUAUAUUGUUUACUGUAUCACCAUCCAUACAAUAGCCUUUGUGCCACGAUUGAUUUCGUACUUUACUGUUAGGUUAUUUUGAGUUCCCUGUUUUUGUGACAAUGUUAAUGGUUAGUAAUUAAUUUGUCGAGGACAUGAUGUUUAGGUCGUCUUUAUGAUUCAAUAAUUUCUAUAGCACUGCUUCGGUAUUGACUUUAUCCCAUGCGUAGUUUUCUCUCGAUUCAUGUUAAAUCGGUUUAACUGAAAAUUCAAUGAAUUAGUCUCGCCAUUUGCUUUCUGGUUUAUGCCUUCAAAAUCAUUGCAAUAUUGGUUUCGUUAGUCCUCAACUUAUUAUUUUUAUAGUUAAAUAUCAUAGUAUGAUCUUGCUUGUAUUCAGCUGAAUAUUUGUUGUUUAAGUUUUCUUUGUCACCUUAGUUCAACAUUGCUAGUGGCUCGCCCGUUCCUUACCGUAUCUUAUGCUUGUUUUUGAAUUGUCGUGAGUAUGUAAAGAUGUUCCUCAAGUUCCUAUUGGCAAGAAAAUGUCAAAAAAGGAUGAAGGAUACAUUGUAUAGGUCCCUUGUUUGAUAGAAUUGCAACGAGGGUUAAUAUUCUCUUGGCAUCAUAAUGAUAGUCUUGAUGCACUAGUGCGAAUGUGUUUAACGUAACCUAACAACCAUAGGAAAAAGAAGAAGAAGCAUGCUUUUUAGGUCUCUUGUAGCUUCAAAAGCUUCUGUUUUAUUUGUUUUCCAUGAAAGUGGGUUCUUUUAUUAUUUUUUGAUCUUUUUCCUUUUAGUUCGAAUACCGUGGUUUCUUUAUUUCUCUCUUAAUGACAUUUAUUAGCGCCUGAUUUCAGAUUCAAUGUCCUAAUAGGGUUAAAAAAUGUAAGUCACUAUUUUCGUCUAAAUAUUUCAAGUUUGAGUAGUUGUAUUCUUAACGUGCUAGUUUGAUAUUGAUUAUGUAGUUUGUGUUAGCUGUAAGGCUGUUUCCGAAAUUAUUUCUUAGCUGAUAAUAUCUUAUUAGCAGUCUGUUACUUUAAAUUAUCUCUUCUUCAUUUUCUUGUCUCUAGUCUGUAAAAGCUGAAUUUGGUUAUCUAGUUGGAUUUUGUCAAAUCUUAGACAAAAGGCGAUAACAUCUUAUAAUAUACUAGGAUUUUCUUGGCUUACAAAUUUGUUAGUUCUCUGGUUUGUUUGAGUUUGCAUCUAAUUGUCCCUUCCCUUUUACCUAUUCAUUUAAUCUCUUAAGAAGUUCAUUUCAUGUCUUUACUUUACUUUGUUUAAAUUUUUAUUAUCAUUCCUUAUGGUCUCCCUGUUUGAUUUUCCAUGUAUGAGUUUGAUUCAUAUUUCUUUGUUGUCCAAAUUAUUCAUUGUUUGUAAAAACAUAUUAAUUUCUUCAUCUUUUACUUUGCAUGAACCCGUCUGAGAGUCCAAAUGGACUCUUUUUCUUUGUAUUUCAUAAUGGCCAAUAAGGCCCAUCUCAUUGAGUCGAGCUCGAAAGAAAGCCUUAGGUCAAAUGGCAUACGUAUACGAGAAGUUGGAAGAAGGAAAAUUAACCGCAGGCCCCCUGGUUGAAGUAGCUAAGAGACUCGAAGAGUCUCAUUUUCCCUUAUUUAUUUAUUUAUUUAUUUAUUUAUUAUCACUUUAUUUAUUUUUAAGUUAUUUAUUUAGGCCUUGAAGCCAAAGUUGUAUUUUAAUACAG